rnacentral:lncRNA from 1 species
CCCCUUUCCAGCACAUCCACGUGUGCCCGUGUCUUCCAGAGAGCCUCGGUUCUGCGGGACGGGGGGCUGCUUUGGAGCCCGAUUGUCCCGUUUCGGAGGAACAAAACCCCGUCCUUCGCAGAGCAGAUGCGGCUCUCGAUCUCGCGCGGAGAGGUGGGAGAACAGAAAGGAGAGCAGCAGCGGAGCGAGGAGACAAAGGCACGGCUCCUGUCAGGAGGAUGCGGGAUGCGGGAUGCUCUCCGCGCCUUUGUUCAAAGACCCUCUCCUUUCGGACUGGGCAUUUACCUCCUACCCUUUAAUUUCUUUUUUUCUGGGGAUCCCUAUGAGGUAAAGGGUUAACCAGCAGGACAGCUGCUGCAGUGGAACAGCACUCCAGCACCAAGCCAAGAGCUGAGAAAGGAGGCUGCGCAAGAACAGGCUGCAGUUCAUAUUCCUCUAGGUACAUUGCAGCACAUCAUCUCCGGAGCUCUCACAGCCCCGACUGUCACACUGACACUGACACUGCAAUGUCAGUCACGCAUCAUGGAGCAUGUUCUGGGUUAACAGUUUCUGGCAGUUUAAGUUGAAUUUCAGAAUCCAUAAACAAAAGUGAUUUCACUGGGAGGCACAUGGUGGAGGAAGAGACGCCCUCCCAAGACCUAGCAAAAAAGAGCUCUUUGGAUUCCUUACUAGGUCUUCAACGAAGUUAUUGAAACCCCACCCCCAAACAUAUGGUAUCAUUUUAAUGCACAGAAUAUCAUCUAUAUGCUACAUUAAUGCUCAGCAUUGUAGGACAUGCUUAUUGGGAGAUCUGGCUGAAAACGUGUCCACCUGGAGUGGACAGAAAUAAAUGGCUGGGUCUCAGGAGGACGUAACGGCA